AACCCAUGGUGUGGGCACUCUCUUCGGUACUCCUUGUACCUUACCCAAGCUUCGCAGAAAGAUUCACCAGGUUGCUGUCAGAACGACGAGAUCUUGUUCUUCAGAGC
rnacentral:snoRNA from 1 species